UGUCUGAAUAUGGGGGGACCAUCCUCCAAGGCUAAAUACUCCUGACUGACCGAUAGUGAACCAGUACCGUGAGGGAAAGGCGAAAAGAACCCCGGCGAGGGGAGUGAAAAAGAACCUGAAACCGUGUACGUACAAGCAGUGGGAGCACGCUUAGGCGUGUGACUGCGUACCUUUUGUAUAAUGGGUCAGCGACUUAUAUUCUGUAGCAAGGUUAACCGAAUAGGGGAGCCGAAGGGAAACCGAGUCUUAACUGGGCGUUAAGUUGCAGGGUAUAGACCCGAAACCCGGUGAUCUAGCCAUGGGCAGGUUGAAGGUUGGGUAACACUAACUGGAGGACCGAACCGACUAAUGUUGAAAAAUUAGCGGAUGACUUGUGGCUGGGGGUGAAAGGCCAAUCAAACCGGGAGAUAGCUGGUUCUCCCCGAAAGCUAUUUAGGUAGCGCCUCGUGAAUUCAUCUCCGGGGGUAGAGCACUGUUUCGGCAAGGGGGUCAUCCCGACUUACCAACCCGAUGCAAACUGCGAAUACCGGAGAAUGUUAUCACGGGAGACACACGGCGGGUGCUAACGUCCGUCGUGAAGAGGGAAACAACCCAGACCGCCAGCUAAGGUCCCAAAGUCAUGGUUAAGUGGGAAACGAUGUGGGAAGGCCCAGACAGCCAGGAUGUUGGCUUAGAAGCAGCCAUCAUUUAAAGAAAGCGUAAUAGCUCACUGGUCGAGUCGGCCUGCGCGGAAGAUGUAACGGGGCUAAACCAUGCACCGAAGCUGCGGCAGCGACGCUGAUGCGUUGUUGGGUAGGGGAGCGUUCUGUAAGCCUGCGAAGGUGUGCUGUGAGGCAUGCUGGAGGUAUCAGAAGUGCGAAUGCUGACAUAAGUAACGAUAAAGCGGGUGAAAAGCCCGCUCGCCGGAAGACCAAGGGUUCCUGUCCAACGUUAAUCGGGGCAGGGUGAGUCGACCCCUAAGGCGAGGCCGAAAGGCGUAGUCGAUGGGAAACAGGUUAAUAUUCCUGUACUUGGUGUUACUGCGAAGGGGGGACGGAGAAGGCUAUGUUGGCCGGGCGACGGUUGUCCCGGUUUAAGCGUGUAGGCUGGUUUUCCAGGCAAAUCCGGAAAAUCAAGGCUGAGGCGUGAUGACGAGGCACU
rnacentral:rRNA from 1 species